UCGAUAGUGCGUGGUAUUAAUGACGUUCCAUCGCCAAAACAGCUGAUUUAAGGCGCCGCAACUAUGAGAAAUAUUUCAAUUGGUUGCAAAGGGGAACCAAGUGCUAAGUCGCCAAGCCCCGGGUUUUAUAGAAACGAAGGACAGCUACUGGAAAUCAAUGGAAACAUGAAAGUUUUUCGAUCGAAUCUGGGAACACAACUGUACCAGGAACACUCCCGUAGACACAGGCAAGUGUCAAACGUCAGGCAUCAAAAAAAUGAUUGUGAAGCCCUCGGCGGAUUCCUCCCUGGACUCCGCACAGCCCGGCUGUUGUUGGUGCCAAAAUCGGAAAUAUUGCUGCUUUGUGAUAAUAUUUUUACUCUGUUUCAUAGCAUUAAUAUGCGUGGCCGUGUAUUUCGGACAGAAGCACUAGCCACAGGACACUCAUUAAACAUUUAAAGGGUAUGGGGUACCCCCUCGCCCCCCACCACCAAAAGAUUGUAGAUACAUCUUUCAGAAUGCAAU